UGAAGCGGGCUUUUCUGUGGAGAAAGGGGUGCCACUUCAGGAUCACAGGCAUGCGCCACCCCACCUGAUGGAGGAUUUCAGAUUUGAACCUGACUUCCAGGACCUUAGGAAGACACACACUCGAAGACAGAGGACUUGAAUAGAAAUUCCUCUGAUGAUUCGCAAGUGGCCAUAAGCACAAAGAAGAAAGCUCAGCAGUGUCAUCAAAAUGCAGAUCACACCAGAGCUGGGGAUUGAAACGCCAAGCGGGAGCUCCAUCCCUGAGCCACACCUCCAGCCCAGGAUCUGUUCUAGGACCUGCAGACACAGCCUCAACCGGACAGCCUCCCAGCCUGGCUCAGGUCCCCUGCGGUCACUCCUGGAGUUCCCAGCAUUCCACUUCACUGCAAAAGACAUCCCAGGAAAAUUGAGCUCCGGUAACAUGUCGCAGACUCGGCUUCUCCCUGCUGUAAGCGGGCAGAGGUGCCCUCCUGGCUGCCCAGCGGAGCUCCUAAGGCCCAGCCGCCCCCUUGCCCCACUCGCCCCAGGGAGCCCAGCGCAGCACCCCAGGCCUGGAACAAGGAGCCUCUCAGGAAACGUUGGUGGAUCAAAUAAAUGAGCCGUCGUGUCGCCUGCUUCUGGAACCAGAAUGAAAGGAAUCCAGUGAGUGCGUGCAAGGGCACGUGCCUGCGCAGACUGUGAUGUGUGACGUUGAAAUAAAGAGCAAAGUUGUGGAAGGAUAAAAAGGGUUUAUUCUUCUGUACUUUGUAAUCUUCCGAUUGCUUUGUAACAUUUCACAUUUCAUCAGUAAGUUUUCCGAGAAA